GGAUCAUUGUCGAAAUCGAACGGAAGAACGACCCGCGAAUCGUCAUUGCGUAGUAGACAGAGCCCGUGAGCACCUAACGCCCAUGGGACUCGCGUCGCGUCGGCGCGGGUGUACUCGAGACCCGCGUCGUACCGGCGGACAAACAACGUCAGCACGGAUCGUGCCAAGGAGCUGCAUGGAGAGAAUCGUCGUCCCACGCCCUCGAUAGUCCUCGACGCGGGACGGGGGAUGUACGCAAUCUCUACUCAAGUCUAAACGACUCUCGGCAACGGAUAUCUCGGCUCUUGCAUCGAUGAAGAACGUAGCGAAAUGCGAUACUUGGUGUGAAUUGCAGAAUCCCGYGAACCAUCAAUUCUUUGAACGCAAGUUGCGCCCGAAGCCAUUCGGCCGAGGGCACGCCUGCCUGGGCGUCGUGAAUCCCCUUGCCCCUAGGCACCCGCAUGAGCAUUGGCGGGGAUAUAUGCUCGGGCGCAGAAUAUGGCCUCCCGUGGGAUCGGCAUGCGCGGCAUGUCGAGGUGCGGUUGGCCGAAAAUCGAGCAUGGCGGUGACGGGCACCACGGCGUUCGGUGGAUCGAACGAGAUUGGCUGCGUCGUGGGCUCGGCAUGCGGCGGGCUCCGGACUUUGAAUAUCCCCGAGUGCGAUCCCAGGUCAGGCGGGGCUACCCGCUGAGUUUAAGCAUAUCAAUAAGCGGAGGAAAAGAAACUAACGAGGAUUCCCUUAGUAGCGGC
rnacentral:rRNA from 1 species